rnacentral:lncRNA from 1 species
UCCUCGCUUUCCUCCACCCGAGCUCCGCCGGCUGCUCCUUGGGAGAAAGGGGACUCGCUAGCCUCAGAAGUCAGCAUUUUCAAGACCUGGCAUCCGCAGCGUUUCUGUCGCGGGGACUUCUCUCUUCGGCUCUGAGGUCUCCGCGGGCAGAACCCAUGGCAGCUUUUGGUCUUACGCGUGGCUGUGAGCUGGGCUCGCGCUGCGUGGCGCAUCCACCCCUCGAUUGACGCGCGGAGAAGCACCUGAUUUCAAACAAACAUCAGAUUUAAGAAGGUGAGGACUCCAAAGAAGAUCCAAACGCAAGACCAGGAAGAUUCACGUUUCCACUACUUCUUCCAAUACAUUUCACUAAUCUUUCUA